rnacentral:lncRNA from 1 species
AUAUGACUAAUAGCCUUAUUUUAUGUCAUGGUGAAUAUAUUUAAACUAAAAAAAUGAGCUUAUGGAAUUUUGUUAAUUUAUUUAGUAUUUAAUUUUGAGUUUAAUUGAUAUGCACCGACGGUGCAAAAUAAUUUUACACGAUUGUCCAAUAAACAACAACCAUUUUGCCAUGUCAUAUCAAGAAAGUGGGGUGAAGUGGGGUGAUGUGACGGAAAACAUGGUUGGUAUUGAUCGACGGUGUAAAAAUAUUUUACACCGUCAGUGUAUAUAAAUUAAAUCCUUUAAUUUUUUGUUUCAUUUUAUAAGUUUCAUGUUUUUUUUAAAGAUAAGUUAAGUCAUAUAGUUCGACUAUUGAUCCGAUUUUAUAAUUUUAUCAUAACGACCUGUUCAUUUUAUCGGUUUAAUCUGAUUUAAUCCGGUUUGUCAUGCGGUUCAACUUGUGACCCAGUGGUUCAACUAAUGAACCAGUAACUCAGUACCCUCAUCGAUUCGAUGAUCGGUUCGGUUUUUAAAACACUGCUUAAAUAUACUUGACUCAAAAAAAAAUUACUUAAAUAUACGAUUUUCUCAAAAUUAGAAUAUGUUUGUCAAAAAAAAAAAAUUCACUUGUAGAAUUAAGUUUCACUUGUAGAAUUAAAUUUUUUCUUGGAAGAAAACUUGUAGAAUUAAACUUAACUUCCAAAAGAUUAUUUAAGCAAGGGUAUAAUUGGUUUUUUCUACCUUUUCCCUUUGCUAACCCUAGCUGUUUGCUUCACCAUAUCGUAAAUCAUCC